UAGGGAAUUUUGCGCAAUGGGGGAAACCCUGACGCAGCAACGCCGCGUGAACGAUGAAGCCCUUAGGGGUGUAAAGUUCUGUCAGUAGGGACGAAAAAUGACGGUACCUACAGAGGAAGCACCGGCUAACUCCGUGCCAGCAGCCGCGGUAAUACGGGGGGUGCAAGCGUUGUCCGGAAUCAUUGGGCGUAAAGCGUUCGUAGGCGGCAUACCAAGUCUGGUGUUAAAGACCGGGGCUCAACUCCGGAUAGGCAUUGGAUACUGGUAAGCUAGAAUGUGGUAGAGGUAAAGGGAAUUCCUGGUGUAGCGGUGAAAUGCGUAGAUAUCAGGAGGAACACCGGUGGCGUAAGCGCUUUACUGGGCCAUAAUUGACGCUGAGGAACGAAAGCCGGGGGAGCAAAUGGG
rnacentral:rRNA from 1 species